rnacentral:rRNA from 1 species
ACGAACGCUGGCGGCGUGCUUAACACAUGCAAGUCGAACGGAAAGGCCCUGCUUUUGUGGGGUGCUCGAGUGGCGAACGGGUGAGUAACACGUGAGUAACCUGCCCUUGACUUUGGGUUAACUUCAGGAAACUGGGGCUAAUACCGGAUAGGAGCUCCUGCUGCAUGGUGGGGGUUGGAAAGUUUCGGCGGUUGGGGAUGGACUCGCGGCUUAUCAGCUUGUUGGUGGGGUAGUGGCUUACCAAGGCUUUGACGGGUAGCCGGCCUGAGAGGGUGACCGGCCACAUUGGGACUGAGAUACGGCCCAGACUCCUACGGGAGGCAGCAGUGGGGAAUAUUGCACAAUGGGCGGAAGCCUGAUGCAGCAACGCCGCGUGCGGGAUGACGGCCUUCGGGUUGUAAACCGCUUUCGCCUGUGACGAAGCGUGAGUGACGGUAAUGGGUAAAGAAGCACCGGCUAACUACGUG